rnacentral:rRNA from 1 species
GACAGAGGGUGCAACCGUUGUUCGGAAUUACUGGGCGUAAAGCGCGUGUAGGCGGUCUGAAAAGUCGGAUGUGAAAGCCCCGGGCUCAACCCGGGAAGUGCAUUCGAAACUGCCAGGCUAGAGUGUCGGAGAGGUUGGUGGAAUUCUCGGUGUAGAGGUGAAAUUCGUAGAUAUCGGGAGGAACACCGGUGGCGAAGGCGGCGACCUGGGUCGAGACUGACGCUGAGGCGCGAAAGCGUGGGGAGCAAACAGG